rnacentral:rRNA from 1 species
UGCAAGUCGAACGCGAAAGUCCCGCAAGGGAUUAGUAGAGUGGCAAACGGGUGAGUAACACGUGGGUGACCUGCCUUCGAGUGGGGGAUAACGUCCCGAAAGGGACGCUAAUACCGCAUGACAUCCUGCCUUUGAAGAGGUGGAGCUUAAAGCCGGGGAUCGCAAGACCUGGCGCUUGAAGAGGGGCCCGCGCCUGAUUAGCUAGUUGGUGAGGUAACGGCUCACCAAGGCAUCGAUCAGUAUCCGGCCUGAGAGGGCGGACGGACACACUGGGACUGAGACACGGCCCAGACUCCUACGGGAGGCAGCAGUGGGGAAUUGUUCGCAAUGGGCGCAAGCCUGACGACGCAACGCCGCGUGGAGGAUGAAGAUCUUCGGGUCGUAAACUCCUUUCGAUCGAGACGAACGGCUUCCGGGUGAACAAUCCGGGAGAGUGACGGUACCGAGAGAAGAAGCCCCGGCUAACUCCGUGCCAGCAGCCGCGGUAAUACGGGGGGGGCAAGCGUUGUUCGGAAUUACUGGGCGUAAAGGGCUCGUAGGCGGCCAACUAAGUCAGACGUGAAAUCCCUCGGCUUAACCGGGGAACUGCGUCUGAUACUGGAUGGCUUGAGAUUGGGAGAGGGAUGCGGAAUUCCAGGUGUAGCGGUGAAAUGCGUAGAUAUCUGGAGGAACACCGGUGGCGAAGGCGGCAUCCUGGACCAACACUGACGCUGAGGAGCGAAAGCCAGGGGAGCAAACGGGAUUAGAUACCCCGGUAGUCCUGGCCCUAAACGAUGAAUGCUUGGUGUGGCGGGUAUCGAU